CAGUCGAGCGGACUUUUUAAAGCUUGCUUUUGAAAGGUCAGCGGCGGACGGGUGAGUAACACGUGGGCAACCUGCCUGUAAGACUGGGAUAACUUCGGGAAACCGGAGCUAAUACCGGAUAAUAUAAGGAACCUCCUGGUUCUUUAUUGAAAGAUGGUUUCGGCUAUCACUUACAGAUGGGCCCGCGGCGCAUUAGCUAGUUGGUGAGGUAAUGGCUCACCAAGGCGACGAUGCGUAGCCGACCUGAGAGGGUGAUCGGCCACACUGGGACUGAGACACGGCCCAGACUCCUACGGGAGGCAGCAGUAGGGAAUCUUCCACAAUGGACGAAAGUCUGAUGGAGCAACGCCGCGUGAGCGAUGAAGGCCUUCGGGUCGUAAAGCUCUGUUGUUAGGGAAGAACAAGUGCGAGAGUAACUGCUCGCACCUUGACGGUACCUAACCAGAAAGCCACGGCUAACUACGUGCCAGCAGCCGCGGUAAUACGUAUGUGGCAAGCGUUGUCCGGAAUUAUUGGGCGUAAAGCGCGCGCAGGUGGUCCUUUAAGUCUGAUGUGAAAGCCCACGGCUCAACCGUGGAGGGUCAUUGGAAA
rnacentral:rRNA from 1 species